CAGAGUUGCAAAACUCCCUAAACACUUGUGAACCUACCCGUAUCGUUGCUUCGGUGGGCGGCCCCAGGGCGGGGCCGUAGCCUUUACAGGCGCCCGCCGAAGGUUAUAAACGCUAUAUUUUAUUGACGCUCUGAGUAAACUUUUAAUAAGUCA
rnacentral:misc_RNA from 1 species